rnacentral:rRNA from 1 species
UACGGAGGGGGCUAGCGUUGUUCGGAAUUACUGGGCGUAAAGCGUACGUAGGCGGCUUUGUAAGUUAGAGGUGAAAGCCCGGGGCUCAACUCCGGAAUUGCCUUUAAGACUGCAUCGCUUGAAUCAUGGAGAGGUGAGUGGAAUUCCGAGUGUAGAGGUGAAAUUCGUAGAUAUUCGCAAGAACACCAGUGGCGAAGGCGGCUCACUGGCCCGAUACUGACGCUGAGGCACGAAAGCGUGGGGAGCAAACAGG